CUUUUCCCUAAAAAGGAUUCUGAAUCCAUCCCCACACACACCUACCCCAAGUGGAGACUGAGUUGGGAUCAACUAGCAAAGAAGCCGGGCAGUGAUUUGCAGCAGCAACACAAUCAGACACACAAAGCAGAAUGGCCUGCAUGCAGCAAAUUAGAGACCCCAGGGCUUUCCAUGCCAAGUUCACCAAGCACAGGCCCAACAAGGGGAAGAUGCAAGCUCCAGGCCACCAGAGCACCCUGAUGUCCGCUGCUUUAAUCUCCUGAGGAUGGCCCAAAAUGACCUAAACAGAAGGCUGCAACUAACUGAAUAACUUUGGGCCAUUAGCUGACACUGGAAUACAGAUAAAGGUCUCCUGGUAAUACUGAGCAACCCAUGGACACUAUAUGGCAUCACAUUAUUAAUAAACAAUGAUGAGAACACCAUGAUACCAUCCUUGUUCUGGAUGACUUCAGAGAUGCCCCCACCUCCCGUAGAAGGCACUGGCAUAAGAAGAAUGGGAAUUACAAGAAGACCAUUCACAGAACAAACUGUUUUCAGCUUUAACUGCUCUUAAUGCCCCUGGUGUUUAAGGCUCUGGAUUGCUAGAAAUCCAACUGCCUCAAGAAAAAAAAUUUUUGCUUUUUCCCAUAACUCACUACUGAAUAUUUUCCUCUACUACAUUUACUAAUGAAAUAUGAAAAACAGGGAAAUUAUAAUGAAUGAUUAAUUGUAAGAGUAAAACUUUUCCAAAUGUCAUCAAA